GACAGCAGGCUCUUCGGCUGGUGGAACUGGGGCAGGAACUAUUUAGGUGGUGGAGGUAGCCAUGAGGAGCUAGUGUCUUUGCAUGAAUGGACCAUUGGGCAUCCAUCUGACUCAAGAGACCAAAGAAAAUUUUUGGAAGUGUGAGUUCUUGGAGAUUUUCUCAUUGCUUCCCCUGGACCAAUUCAUGGACAUUAAGGAGGAUACAAAAUGGGAGCAGGGCAAGAAAGAAGAGUGAAAGAAAAAGGUAUAGAAAGUUAUUGAAGACUUUUGGCAACUGAUCCCGUGCCUUUUGUAUUUGAGCUAGUGUGACAGCCGGGAAGUUCCAUGAGCAGGGAUCAGCAUUAUUCUGCUACUUUGAUGAGAUUUCAGUUGCCAACCGCACAUUUGGAGGCAUGGCAUGGUGGCAAUAUGAUGGGUAGUUUCGCCAACGGAUAGUGGUGCGCUCAGACAUGAAGUUGGAUGACCACAAUAUGGUAAUCUGGUUGGAAAUGAACACUCUUCAACGUGUUGGGCAGUCCUUUUGAGGGACUGGGGUGAGCAGGCCCUGGUGGGGCCCAGUCGAGCAUGAUGGUGGCAAUCAGAAAGAGACUCUGCUUCCAGUUUAAUGAUGGACAAUGUCGCUUUUGAGGGUCCUUUAAGUACAAGCACCUGUGUUCAGGUUGCGGGGGAAUGCAUGCCUUCUCCUAGUGCUUUUGGCAUGGUCGGCAGGUGGUUAAAUCGGGGGACAUCAGUGUAAUGUGUGUACAAGGCGCGGACGCCAGUGAGGGUCGAAAAGAUGGUGCCAUGGUCAGAAUGGUAAGCUAGGGGGAGAUCUCGACAGCAGAAUACAGAGCUGCUGUUGACGGGAUUUAGUUCGGGUUUUUGGAUUCCGUUUGUAGAGGGGGGUCAAAGAUUCAUGGGAAUUUAAAAUCUGUGUGGGAAUUCCUGGAGAUUGUGCGGACUAAGUUGUUAAAAGAAGUCUCAUUGGAUAGGAUGGCUGGACCUUUCAAGGAACAUCCAUUGGCCAAUUUGAGAAUAUCUCACCAAAAGAUGCUUAAGUCAAUGAUGGGCUUGACCUUGAGUUGGCUGCGGUGUGUUAUGCAUCUUUUGAUAGAGUGGUGAAGUUGGUUCGGACAGCUAGGGUGGAAACCUUAAUGGUGAAAGUUGAUGUGGAGGCCGCUUUCCGUCUUUUUACUAGUGCACCCAAAAUCUCAUCAUUUCUGGGUUGCUUUUUUGACGGUUCAUACUUCGUAGACCUUUGUCUGCCCAUGGGUUGUUCUAUCUCCUGCUCCUACUUCAAGAAGUUCAGUUGUUCUGUGGAGUGGGUGGUAAAGCAGCAGUUGGGACUUGGUUCAUUAGUCCAUUAUUUGGAUGAUUUUCUGUUUGUUGGCCGAGACAGGUCUUCGGAGUGCAGGAGGCUCAUGGUGGCUUUCAUGCAGGUGGCAAAAUAUUUUGGGAUCCCAGGGGCUGAGGAAAAGAUGGAGGGACUCACCACAUUUGAGUUUUUUUUAGUAUCUUGAUCGACACAGUUCUAAUAGAAUGCUGGUUACCCAAGGAUAAGGUGGGAGACCUGUUAGCCACUAUUGAAGGGGUGUUGUUGAAGCAGAAGCUUAAGUUAAGGGAAUAUCAGUCUGUGAUUGGCAAGCUUAACUUUGCAUGUAAAAUCAUUCCGGUGGAAUGGGUUUUCACGAGAAAAUUGUCCUUGGUGACCGCAGGUGUGAAGGAGCCAUUCCACCGGAUUCGGAUCCGGAAAGAGUUCAAAGAGAAUUUGAGUAUCUGGUGGUAUUUUUUGAGGGAUUUUAAUGGUAGGGCAAUGGUGCAGGAGGCAGGUGUAUUUGAUUCGGACCUUCAUUUCUUCACGGAUACGUCGGUGAAGGAGGCGGGUGUAUUGGAUUGGAUCAGGGGCCAUAUAUUUUGGGGUUUAUCUGCAGGGUAAAUGGUGUGUGGGUCAGUGGCCAAAAGCAUGGGUCAAGGAGGGGUUAACUAAGAAUUUAGUAUACCUGGAGCUGUUCCCUCUGGUCGUGGCUUUGCAUGUGUGGCAACAUCUUUUGUCUAACAAAAGUGUGACUUUCCAUUCUGACAAUAUGGGUGUGGUAAUGGCCAUUAAUAGUUUGUCUGCCUCGUAUCCUCCUGUGGUUCAAUUGUAUUUGUUCAAUUGUAUUUGUGUUGAAAUAUUUGCAAUGCAAUGUUUUAUUUAAAGCAGUGUAUGUGCCAGGAAAAUGUAAUGCAAUUGCUGAUGCUCUCUCCAUUUACAGUGGUAUUGAUUCCGUUGCUUGGCUCCAGAGGCAGAAGAGAUUGGGGAGGAGUGCCCGGAGGAGCUGUGGGGAAUGGCAUUCUCAGCAGGCUGAAUAUGAUGAGAGGAGCGUUGCUCCAGGGACAUGGAAAUCUUACAUGCAGGUUCGAUUCAGUGUUGGCUGAUGGGUCAUUCCUAUAUAUAUUGGGCUAUGAAGGCGGCAGCAGUGAAAGAGGAUGGGGUUCAACUGGAGUUUUCUCCAGAGGUGGUUGGCAUAUGCUGGUUUGGAAUCAAAGGCAUGAGGUAGGAUCAAUUACUAAUAAAAGUUUUGGAGUAUGCUA